CCCAGACCUGCUAAGGGCAGCAACCCUCCAACCACAGAUGCUAGAAGGGCAGGCGGGCCCUGGACACUGAGCAGACCAGGUCAUACGGCAUGUUCCCAUCAGUGUUGACUGCCAGGAGAUCAGCWCCCCUGCAGGGAGGACGGACGGGUGAGAGCUGCUGCCCAGCCCCCUUUCAGCAAGUCUGCCCUGUGCAGAAGCCCUGAGCCUCGGACUGCCUUCAGGAAGUGCCAGCAGACGGGGAGGACACGGCUGACAAGGUGGGACCUGCAUCUCUCUGUCAUCAGGAUUCUGCCAGGGAAGUGGMCCCAGUCUGCCCCAAGAGGUCACAGCCAAGAGGGAGGCCCACUGCCCUGCCUGCCCCACCUCUGUCCAAUGAAGGUAAAGAAGAUGAUCCAAGACCACCUGAUCAAAUAGCCACACCCAYCCCAUCAGUGGGUAGAAAGAGAUAUAUAUAUUUUUUUGCACUGGCAAAAUUGAACCCAGGGGUGCUUAACCACUGAGCCACA